CCUACGGGAGACUGCAGUGAGGAAUAUUGGUCAAUGGACGAGAGUCUGAACCAGCCACGUAGCGUGAAGGAUGACUUCCCUCUGGGUUGUAAACUUCUUUUAUAAAGGAAUAAAACGAGGCACGUGUGCCUUUUUGCAUGUAUUUUAUGAAUAAGGAUCGGCUAACUCCGUGCCAGCCGCCGCGGUAAUCCGGAGGAUCCGAGCGUUAUCCGGAUUUCUUGGGUUUACAGGGAGCGUAGAUGGGUUGUUAAGUCAGUUUUGAAAGUUUGCGGCUCAACCGUAAAAUUGCAAUUGAUACUGGCAGUCUUGAGUACAGGUGAGGUAGGCGGAAUUCGUGGUGUAGCGGUGAAAUGCUUAGAUAUCACGAAGAACCCCGAUUGCGAAGGCAGCUUACUAAACUGUGACUGACAUUGAUGCUCGAAAGUGUGGGUAUCAAACAGGAUUAGAUACCCGAGUAGUC
rnacentral:rRNA from 1 species